CUUAUCAAGAGUGGCGGAGGGAACAGGCCCUGUGAUGCCCGGCAACCUGCACUGUGUGCAAGGUGCCAAAUCCUGCGGGUAAGCCGACAGAUGAGG
rnacentral:ncRNA from 1 species